rnacentral:rRNA from 1 species
AGCGGCGGACGGGUGAGUAACGCGUGGGUAACCUGCCCUGUACACACGGAUAACAUACCGAAAGGUAUGCUAAUACGAGAUAAUAUACUUUUAUCGCAUGGUAGAAGUAUCAAAGCUUUUGCGGUACAGGAUGGACCCGCGUCUGAUUAGCUAGUUGGUAAGGUAACGGCUUACCAAGGCGACGAUCAGUAGCCGACCUGAGAGGGUGAUCGGCCACAUUGGAACUGAGACACGGUCCAAACUCCUACGGGAGGCAGCAGUGGGGAAUAUUGCACAAUGGGCGAAAGCCUGAUGCAGCAACGCCGCGUGAGCGAUGAAGGCCUUCGGGUCGUAAAGCUCUGUCCUCAAGGAAGAUAAUGACGGUACUUGAGGAGGAAGCCCCGGCUAACUACGUGCCAGCAGCCGCGGUAAUACGUAGGGGGCUAGCGUUAUCCGGAAUUACUGGGCGUAAAGGGUGCGUAGGUGGUUUCUUAAGUCAGAGGUGAAAGGCUACGGCUCAACCGUAGUAAGCCUUUGAAACUGGGGAACUUGAGUGCAGGAGAGGAGAGUGGAAUUCCUAGUGUAGCGGUGAAAUGCGUAGAUAUUAGGAGGAACACCAGUUGCGAAGGCGGCUCUCUGGACUGUAACUGACACUGAGGCACGAAAGCGUGGGGAGCAAACAGGAUUAGAUACCCUGGUAGUCCACGCCGUAAACGAUGAGUACUAGCUGU